UCUGAGUGGCGUCCCACGCACCACGAUCACGACCUUGGAUAACAAGAAUCAAAUUUCAGAAGUACUUGCAUCCAAUGAUCUUGAAUGUGACGAUCUUGGUUUGAUCUGCCAUGCAGAUGCUCUAAUCCUCGAGAAUUAUAUUGAAGAGAUAGUGAUUUCAGCCGUAUCUUACCAUUUAAUGAAUAACAAGAAUUCUGAAUAUAGAAAUGGAAAGCUGGUAAUAUCAUCAGCCAGUUUAUCCCAUGGAUUUAGCAUCUUCCAGGAUGAAAAAGGAUGUGGAAGAGAUACUUUUAAGCUGGAGGAAAAUGCUGAAUCAUUAAAGGUUUCUUCUUCUUCAUUUCCUUCCAGAUUUUCAUGAACGUCUCACUUGUUUCUAUUGUUUCAGUAAACCGAAGUGGAAGCUGCAACAAAGCCUGAGGCGAAACCCGUUUUAUUAGUGGGGCUCCUUCAUUUGUCCUAUAUCACUCACCACUAUCUUCUCAACAGGGAAGACACUGUUUUUGAGCCAUCUAUAAUUACAGUCUAUUACCUCAAAGCAAUUGAUCCAAAAAUAUCAAUCUGAUCUCUCUUUCUCUCUCUGUCUGCAACUCUGGUGGAGGGAGGAGAAUGUUGAGAAAAUGGAGAUCACGAACAGGGUUUGGUUGGUUAUGGUAGCAGUAGUGAGUCUCAUAUUCUCAAUGGUUUCUUCUCAGUCGGCAAUGGCUCAAUCACCUGCACCUGCCCUCUUCCCGCCAAUGAUGGGACGACAAUUGAUCAAGGAGUAGCAUGUUCUAAUGCUAUUGGCAUUGGUGCUAACCUACAU